GACGAACGCUGGCGGCGUGCUUAACACAUGCAAGUCGAACGGAAAGGCCCUGCUUUUGUGGGGUGCUCGAGUGGCGAACGGGUGAGUAACACGUGAGUAACCUGCCCUUGACUUUGGGAUAACUUCAGGAAACUGGGGCUAAUACCGGAUAGGAGCCCCUGCUGCAUGGUGGGGGUUGGAAAGUUUCGGCGGUUGGGGAUGGACUCGCGGCUUAUCAGCUUGUUGGUGGGGUAGUGGCUUACCAAGGCUUUGACGGGUAGCCGGCCUGAGAGGGUGACCGGCCACAUGGGGACUGAGAUACGGCGCAGACUCCUACGGGAGGCAGCAGUGGGGAAUAUUGCACAAUGGGCGGAAGCCUGAUGCAGCAGCGCCGCGUGCGGGAUGACGGCCUUCGGGUUGUAAACCGCUGUCGCCUGUGACGAAGCGUGAGUGACGGUAAUGGGUAAAGAAGCACCGGCUAACUACGUG
rnacentral:rRNA from 1 species